CAGCCGCGGGAAUACGAAGGGUGCAAGCGUUACUCGGAAUUACUGGGCGUAAAGCGUGCGUAGGUGGUGGUUUAAGUCCGUUGUGAAAGCCCUGGGCUCAACCUGGGAAUUGCAGUGGAUACUGGGUCACUAGAGUGUGGUAGAGGAUAGUGGAAUUUCCGGUGUAGCAGUGAAAUGCGUAGAGAUCGGAAGGAACAUCUGUGGCGAAGGCGACUAUCUGGGCCAACACUGACACUGAGGCACGAAAGCGUGGGGAGCAAACAGGAUUAGAUACCCCUGUAGUCCCUGUCUCUUAUACACA
rnacentral:rRNA from 1 species